rnacentral:lncRNA from 1 species
CAUUUAAUAUUUCAUGUAUGUGUCCAAAGAUUCGAUGGGAUGGAUGAAAAUUUUUCUUUUGGGGAACUAAACAGGGCCUAAUAGGGAACCUCCCCAUCUCAGUCAACUCCGAAACGUCCCAACGAAUGGAUCAACAAGGACGGCACACAACAAACUUGCGCGUUUUGGGGGGCGUUGUUGGGCUUGGGCAUGCAGCCGCGAACGAUCAUCUACCUUCUCGUUGUCGCCGCCAUACUGUUUCCAAACGAGAAAACAAUUUCGUUCAAGCGCCAAAUCACCCAUGCAGGAAUGAAUGAAUAUACAAUAAAUAAAUACCUUGAAACUCAUCGUGUCGUGUACCGGUCAACCAAAUCAUAAAAGGGAGAAAAAAAAAAAGAAACUGGGAAGCCAAAACGAACACCCCCAUCCAAUACUUCCACCAGGAGAGAUCGUCAAGGCCGCCACCGAAGCGAGACCCGACCGCGCGCCAUCUGAACCCAACGCGGCCCUCCCCAGCCGCAACCCGCAACCGCAUUCAGGUCCGCAACGGCCCCCGGACGCGGCACGGCGGCCGGUCGGUCCCCUGACUCAUGUGGCUGAGCCUGCGCGUCGCGCACACGCAUAUGGCACCGCCUCCGCUUCCGCCUCGCAUGCAGACACACGACAGCUAAGCUCGAGUCCAGACGCGCACGUCUCCAGCUCCAGGGGAGGACCCGGUGGCCUUGGGAGCCCAACACCAACCCCACCUGGCGGCGUGCGCGGGGGCUAUAAAAGCCGCGGC